GGAUCAAUCUUUAAAUGCAGGAUUUUAUGCCUGCCUCAUCAAUCAUCACCAAAUGGCUUCUAAGGAAGGAUCAAUCUUCAAAUGCAGGAUUUCAUGCCUGCCUCAUCAAUCAUCACCAAAUGGCUUCUAAGUAAUGAUUAGUCCUCAAAUGCAGGUCAUGUCAUGUCACUCAUUAAUAAAUGGCUUCUAAGUAAGGAUUAAUCUCCAAAGCGCAGGUUACAUACCUUCAAUAUAUUUUGAAAUAUCAUUUGAUCAAAGCCUAAUGCCCCAGUAGCUUGAUUUCGUUUUUUGUUUAUUAAACUAUUUUUAAUAUUUUUCAUAUUUUUCAUAGUUUUAAAAUUAUUUUUAAUGUUGAUCAAAGUCUUUUGCAUCAUCCCUGAAUAGAUGAACACAAAGCAAUGAGUUAUGGUCGAAAAAUAUCACAUUCUUAAAAGAUUCCAAAUGUAAGAUGUCUCAAAAUCCUCUAUCUUGAGGUUUUGAAGUAGAUCCUGCGUUUUGACCAAAUUGGUCUGUGCUGAAUUCAAAUUGCAAAAUCUGGAAAUAUUUUUUAAUCGAAAUUAUCUGUAUUCAUAAAUGUUAGGUGAUAUGAAUCAUAAUUUUUUUAUUUUUUUGUAGCAAUCCACUGUACCAAAAACCUGAAGUUCUUACCUUUUCCAAAUCUUCAACAGUUAUAGUAACUAAAAUAAUAAUAAUAAUAAUAAUAAUAAUAAUAAUAAUAAUAAUAAUAAUAAUAAUAAUAAUAAUAAUAAUAAUAAUAAUAAUAAUAAUAAUAAUAUUAUGUAAUUGUAUAAAAAAUUCAAUAAUAAUAAAAACAAUUCCAAUAUUUUGAUGUGAAAGGUACCCAGGUAAUAAACGAAGCUAAGAAAUAAAAUAUUGAUUUAAAUGUUUCUAAUCUAUCUCAUCUUUAGUAUGAGAAAGAGAUUGGGACAUAGGUAAUGACAAUCAAGGUAAUAAUUAUUCAAAAAUAAAAUUCUAAUGCUAAAAAACAACAAAGAUUUUACAGACAGAGCAUAAGAUCUUAGUCAUGAGAUUGUAAACACAGUGUAUAACACAUCAGCGAGUAUAACAUGGUUAGCUUUUCUAGUUACGUAAGGUAAUGAAAAAAUGGAUCAACAAUUCUAUAACAGAUACUGAAGUAAAAAUAUAGUUCAUCUGUGUGGAUAGAUGGUUGCUAUUCACAUUAUGAAUUGAUAAAAAAAAUGGUAAAAACAAAUCUGAAAUCUUAUAAACACACUCUGUCAAAAUAUCAUUUCCUCUGUAAAUACUGUACAAAAAAAAGUUCAAUAAAAAUGCUUAUAUUUUUAUAAAAUAGAA